GUGAGGAAUUUUCCGCAAUGGGCGAAAGCCUGACGGAGCAAUGCCGCGUGAAGGAUGAAGGCCUAUGGGUUGUAAACUUCUUUUCUCAGAAAAGAAUUAUGACGGUAUCUGAGGAAUAAGCAUCGGCUAACUCUGUGCCAGCAGCCGCGGUAAGACAGAGGAUGCAAGCGUUAUCCGGAAUGCUUGGGCGUAAAGCGUCUGUAGGUUGUUUAAAAAGUAUUCUGUCAAAGAUUAGGGCUUAACCCUAGAUAGGCAGAAUAAACUUUUAAGCUAGAGUUUGGUAGAGGCAGAGGGAAUUCCCGGUGGAGCGGUGAAAUGCGUAGAUAUCGGGAGGAACACCAAAGGCGAAGGCACUCUGCUGGGCCAAUACUAACACUGAGAGACGAAAGCGAGGGGAGCAAAUGGGAUUAGAUACCCCUGUAGUCC
rnacentral:rRNA from 1 species